UAAAGCCUAUGAUGUAGUCAUGGCUGCCCU
rnacentral:piRNA from 1 species